UUUCACAGCGGUGUCAUUGGUCAAAGGCAUCACCGUUUGUACUGAGCCUUUACCGAAGGUCUUACUGCCCAGAAUGAUGGCACGCUUCUGGUCUUGUAAUGCCCCUGCGACGAUUUCAGAGGCUGAUGCCGAGCCGCCAUUAACAAGAACAAUCAGCGGUGCGCCUUUAAGUAGAUCAUCGGGCGUCGCGUGGAAUUUUUGUUCAGAGUCUGCAAUACGGCCUUCCGUAUAGACAAUCAUGCCUUUGGUAAUAAAGGCAUCCGAUACAUCGACAGCGGCAUCCAAAACACCGCCCGGAUUGUUACGUAA
rnacentral:ncRNA from 1 species